UGGGGAAUUUUGGACAAUGGGCGAAANCCUGAUCCAGCAAUGCCGCGUGUGUGAAGAAGGCCUUCGGGUUGUAAGCACUUUUGUCCGGAAAGAAAUCCUUGGCUCUAAUACAGUCGGGGGAUGACGGUACCGGAAGAAUAAGCACCGGCUAACUACGUGCCAGCAGCCGCGGUAAUACGUAGGGUGCAAGCGUUAAUCGGAAUUACUGGGCGUAAAGCGUGCGCAGGGCGGUUUGCUAGACCGAUGUGAAAUCCCCGGGCUCAACCUGGGAACUGCAUUGGUGACUGGCAGGCUAGAGUAUGGCAGAGGGGGGUAGAAUUCCACGUGUAGCAGUGAAAUGCGUAGAGAUGUGGAGGAAUACCGAUGGCGAAGGCAGCCCCCUGGGCAAUACUGACGCUCAUGCACGAAAGCGUGGGGAGCAACAGGAUUAGAUACCCUGGUAGUCCACGCCCUAAACGAUGUCAACUAGUUGU
rnacentral:rRNA from 1 species